AAACACUUGUGUUGGAUCUCAACACAAGUACUUGUGUUAAAACUAAUCUACACAAGUUAUGUGUUGUUUUGCAUUGCAUUAACACAAACUUGUGUCGAUUUAUAAAAUCUUGUGUGUUUUUUCAUAUCAUUAACACAAGUAAUGUGUACCUUCCACGAUUUGUUUUCUUUUUAAGAAAAAAACUCCAUACAAAGUCUGAAUUCGGGAGUCGUCAAGUUUUAAGAAAAGUAAUAAAGGGCUUAAUUCACAUCUCGAAAAUCACUGGAAGGGAGUGAGUACCAAUUAAUCAGACAAUUGCCAGACAGACUUGAAUGUUAAUUGGUGUUAAGUUGUCUGUAUAGUUAAAAUGUCUGUCUUUUUUUAUUGACCCAAUAAACUGAUAGACCAAAUGAAUAUAUAGUGUACAUGUGAUUUUCAGCACCCUGGUGUUUUCGAAAAUUGAUUCAAUGUGCAAUGAACAAAAAAAAUGAGUAAAACUCUUAAUAAUGUAAUUGGUUGAUGUAAUCGAAAUUGGACAGUAUUGGUUAACUGAAAAGUAACCAAUCAAAUUUAAUUGAUCAUCCACGUGUAUCUCAUAAUCGACUUAUUGAUAUAAUGGUUCUCCAAGUUAUCUAUACUUUUUGUCUGCGAUAUCACUUCGGUGGAAGCGGGCGUAAAAUACAACUAACUAAGAAGAAGUAUCUAUACUUUAGUCAUUGCGACAAAUUCUUUCUUUGAUAUUAUAUCAGCGACAUUCAGUUAGAUGUAGUGACGUUAGCAUCAACAGAGUGCUUUAGCCGUGAUAUUUUUUAAAAAAAAAUUAUAAUGGUCACAUAGAAUACCAGACCGCAGGUUUGUAAAUUUUUACAAAAAAUAAAACCGUGUAUUUAAUUUAGCAUGUAUAUAUUGCUUCUAUGUAUAUAAUAAUUCGUUUCGUUUAAAACAGUCAGAUUUAGAACCACUGCCACUGACUGCACCGAAAUUCUAUUUAUAUAAUGGCGCCACAAAGAAAUUUUUUUUGAUGUGUUCUAAAAGUGUUCCGCUAAUUCAGCAAUCUAAUGAAUCUGUCUUAAUUUUUCUGAAAUCGUGCUUAAUUAUUAUUAGCUAAUCGGCGCUACACCGUUGUUCAAAUACUUAUAAUUGCAAGAAACCCCCGACUAGGACCAGCAGUCAUUGAUGUUAGCAUAUGUACUACACAAAGAAAAACAGUUUCCAUAUUAGAUGCCAUAGCAAAUCAAAGAUCAUAUAAUAAAAUAAGUCAAAAAACCCAAAUAUGGGAAAAAAAGAGCUGAAGAAAUGGUGAUUUGAGCACCUAUGAUUUCUCAUAGUUGUUUUUUGAGGAAAGAUCAAGACAGUUGAAAAUGGCUAUUCAUAUUAUGGAAACUUUUUCUCACAGAGCUUGAUAAUCAGGUAAAAUGCUGGAACACCCUUGAAAGAGUAUUUGGUGUAUGAUAACAACAAGAGAACCCAAGCAUCAAUUUAUUUUAUACUUCUGGGAAAGAAUGCAUUUGACCCAAUUUUUAAAUAUUUAUUUUUUGUUAUUAAUGUUAAAUUUUCUUCCAAAACACAAUUAGAUUUUAAUUCUCUUCAAAUAUGUAUGUAUAAUAUAGCAAGUAAACUGACAUAUAAAUCACUUAGAAUUUGGUCGGAAAUCAUAAAGUAUUUAAUAGGCAUUACUAGAAACCAAAUGUAGAUCAAAUACACCCAGAAUUACAAAAAACCUUGACCUACAUUAAGGUGACUUUCCCUUGCUUAUGAAAUGAAAUACGUUUUAAUAUCCUGCUUUUCUGUGUUCUUAGAGUGAUUCUACCCUACCCUUAUAUCAAAUAUUUCAACUGUCAAGGGUUCUUUAAAGGGUACCCAGGGGGGCCGAAUGGUUAACACGCACACAUUUGAUCAGAAGGUCUGUCAUUGAUUCAAAUAAUUCAAUUUUCAAGGGUUCUUCAAAGUGUACGCAGUUGGGUUGGUUUCAAUUCUGGGGGGUGGGGGUGGAUGGCCGAAUGGUUAGCACGUGCAUGCUGUAUCAUACGGCCUCCUGUCAUUGAGUCAACUGGCAUGGUUUCGAAUCCCCGGUUGUAGACAAGGAGUAGGGUCGCCUGUCCAAUCUUGUGGGUUUUCUCCGGGACCUCCGGUUUCCUCCCACUGCUAAAGACCCCUACGCGCUAGCGAAUUAUUGAAAUAAAAUUAAACCAUAUGUUAAUCCCAAAAUGAUCUAGUUUGUGUCGAGUAGAUGUUAAACCCCAUUUCUCUCUGUCUCUCUCUCUUUUGAUUCUGGGCUUGUACCCAAUUAUCCCUUGCCAUAUCCAACACUGAAAAGUGGGAACUAUGCCGGAAAAUCCAGUUGAAAUUUCGCGGCCAACGCCUUAUGCUCACUGAACCACUGUGGCUUAUGACUUGUGAUUGUAUAUAAAUCUUUUGUACAUAUGAUAUUUUUUUAUUUCAAUCCUGUAAUCUUGAUGCUUUGCUUCUUUUAUUUAUAAAAUAUUCAUUUUGUUUGGGGGUUUUUUAAUGAGGAAAAGGCUCUACAUCAUUUUAUUACUCCUGCAAAAUAGAGCAAUUUUCUUUUGUUAGUUUUCUGUGUAUGCUAGUUAUUUCUAGAUGCCUCACAAAUCACUUGUAGUGUGAUUUUGUAGCAUUUUUCAGUUUUUGAAAUUGUUUCAAUUUAGUGCAUAAUUAAUCUUAUUAGUGCUUAGUUUGGAUGUUAUUAAAUUUAGAUAUAUUUGAAUUAUAUAUUUUGGGGUAUGGGGUAGGGAUACUGUGUACAUAUCUUUAUAUUCUCAGUUCUUGUUUUGGGGUAAAGAACAAUUUAAAUAGCUAUUUUAUAUUUUGUGAUGGGUAAAG